rnacentral:rRNA from 1 species
UACGUAGGCAGCAAGCGUUGUUCGGAGUUACUGGGCGUAAAGGGUGUGUAGGCGGUUCACUAAGUUCGGUGUGAAAUCUCCCGGCUUAACUGGGAGGGUGCAUUGAAAACUGGUGGGCUUGAGUAUGGGAGAGGUAAGCGGAAUUCCUGGUGUAGCGGUGAAAUGCGUAGAUAUCAGGAGGAACACCUGUGGUGUAGACAGCUUACUGGACCAUCACUGACGCUGAGACACGAAAGCGUGGGUAG